rnacentral:rRNA from 1 species
GAGCCUACGGGGGGCAGCAGUGGGGGAUAUUGCACAAUGGGGGGAACCCUGAUGCAGCGACGCCGCGUAGGUGAAGAAGCGUUGCGGCGCGUAAAGCUCUGUCAGCAGGGAAGAAGAUGACGGUACCUGACCAAGAAGCCCCGGCUGACUACGUGCCAGCAGCCGCGGUAAUACGUAGGGGGCAAGCGUUAUCCGGAUUUACUGGGUGUAAAGGGGGCGCAGACGGCGAUGCAAGCCAGCAGUGAAAGCCCGGGGCCCAACCCCGGGACUCCUCU